UAAAAGUUCUCAGUGUGCUGACAAACGACGUGCGGCGUGUGUCGCUUGGAUGCGGGAAGACGGGGACUGAUGCAAGGACGUCAUCGCCGCGCUUACUCAGUCUCCUAGCAACAGAAAACAUCUGCCUCCUCCAGGACCAAUGAGGGCACACACUGAGCGGAGUGUGUUGUCUCCUGUUGCUGUGAACGGGAUAUUUUGGGAGUCUGGGAGAGCAGUGAGCGUCUCACCCCGACAGGAGCUUGAGCUCUGCGCACGUCCGCCGUCUGGCUUUCUGUUUGCACCGACACAGGCUGUGGCUUCAGGCGAGCUGGAGAGUCGCUAGAUCGGUGUGAGGACGGUGGAUGAAGCGCCGAAGAGAGAAGGACGUAAAGGAAGAGAGAGGAAGGGAGGCUUUAACUGCUGCACGACAUAAUUAUUUAAAGCAGGAUUCUGAGGGCGAUGUGGAGAAUCAGAUCAGCUCUAAUUUAAACUCCGGUCAGAAAGCCGAGUCAGCUGUGGACCAAUCGGCAGCAGCUUCCCCGUGAGAGAGACCAAACCAUUCAACGACGUCGAAAGUUGCUUACUUCAAGAGGAAAUAUGCGGAGGAGGAGGAUUUACACCGAGGCCUACAUGGAUAUUUUCAAAAACACUUGAUACUGCAGGAGGACCGGAGCUGCAUCCUGAGGCUGUCCCUGGAGAAGCUAAGGUUCCUGGAAGAUCCCGAGGCCUACCUGAGGCGCUCCGUCCUUAUCAACAACCUUCUGAGGAAGAUCCACCAUGAGGAGGAGGAGCUGGAGGCUGAGGAGGAGGAAGAAGAAGAAGAUGAAGUAGAUGAAGAGGAAGAAGAGGAGGGGGUUAUUGGGGAUAGGGGGCAACGGAGGCUGAUGUGCCCAGACAGGAAGAGGGUGAAGGUGCUAGUGACAGACUGCUGCUCCCCAGGGUUUGGCCUGGAGGAGCUGCAGCACUACCGGCUGGUGCCGUGCUACCCAUCAGCUGGAUGCCUGUACAGCCUGGGUACCUGCCCAGGCCUCACCCCGAACCACCAGGUCCUCCUGUACAACCUGGACGACAAUGGUUGACUCUCCGAUCCUCACUGCCAGGCCUCUUUUCAAAGCUGGGAAACACAGCAUGGGUUCACGUCGCAGGCAUGUGGACCAGCAUAGGUUGUUCCAAUCAGCAGGAGGAAAGCUGCUGCUGUUUUCUCCCUGUUCACUAAAAUGCUUUGAGGGGAAUGUGUUGCAGGCUCUGUUUUGUGCGUCAGCAGGAUGUCACCUCUUCUCGUCGCCUUGCUAAGAGGUAGUGGUGGAUUUAAGAAGCUCAGAGACCCUUCUUCUUCUGCCUCAGGAUCAGCAGAGUCUCUGGUGUUGAUGUCAAACUCUGCUGCACCAUCACUGCUAUUUACUGUUUGUGCAAAUAUAAGAGACUUUAAGCAGGCAGCAUUUUUUUUUUAAAUUCUUUGCAGCUGUAGUAUUAUUGAUUUUUAUUGUCACUGUUGCUCAUGUAAUCUGUGAGCGCAUUCAGGGAUUUACAGACUGCCGGCUACUUUUGAUGCACCUUGGCUUGUGUGGAGAAUAUUUGCUGAUGUGCUUCUGUUAUCUUUUUAUGCUACUGUGUGAUUUAUGAAAUAUUCUGUGUAACAUUCCCUGGACUGUGUGAAUUCUCAUGCUAUGAAGAACUCGAGGCACUCAUUCCCUGGGGUACGUUUACUGCCUGUGGGAAGACUGUUUUCUCUCUGGGGAAUGUCCUGUGAUCAUGUUUUCAUUUUGCAGCACUUUGCUGUCCUCUGCUGGUGAAAAAAAAAAUCUUAAAGCAUUUCUUAUUAGUAGCUUGUGUUCAAAUAAGAAAGCAGAGGAAUGCUUUAUUUUAAACUCGCCCCAAUUUAGCAUUUAUAAGCAUUACAUAUACUAUAUACAGCUUAUAACCCACUAUAGAUGCAAGGAGAUUUGUCAACAGCUAUAACAUCUGCCGAUACAUAAAUAUAGCAAAAGAUUUUAAAAAAUAUAUUUUGUCAUAUGAGUUAUAACUGUUGGCAAACACUACAUUAUUACAGUUAUAAGCACCAACCUGUCAUCUGCAUAGUCUAAAUAUUCAAAAUGAUGCAUAUAUGUAUAAUAAAGAGAAAUGAUGCUAGUGGCAGUAAAUGCCCAUUUUGUUUUCACUUUUAGACAUAAAAGAAAUAAAAUUUGUUUUGUUUUUGGCCAUCUCAAAGGAGGAAAUCCUUUUUGUCAGUUCUAUCAAUUAUUAAUUUUUUUUUUCUGCAAACAAAUAUUGUUUUUGUGAAUGCAUUUCAGCCUUGUGGUGUUUUAAUGCUGAAUUUCAGAGAGAAGAAGGCCUUUACAUUGAUGUUGCAUUUCAUAUUUUCUUACUAUUAUUCCAGCAGCAGUAGUGUUUUCACAGAGGACUGAGGUUUGCUAAAUGGUCAGAAGAUAUAUUGAUUAAAGUGGCACGCUGGUGCUUUACAAAGCUGACUUAUCUGCUGUAUGACAACAGUGACUGAGUAUCCAUCCUUCUUCUGUGUCUUUUUGUGUGUUCAGUGUCUAUCCAGGUGUUUUACUGACUUUGAAAAUGUGCAUCUUGAUAACAAUCACUUCAAUGAAAAGGAAAAAAAAUAAAACAAUGACAAACUAAAGGCAACUAUUAAAGAGAAGCUUGAUAUUUUAAAUCAAGAAUUUAUAUUUUGAUGAAUAUGAAUAGUCUGUAUUUAAGAAACUAUUUUG